AGGUACGGAUCUAGGCGUCAACAAGAAGAUGGAUCAGAUUUGGAGCUCGUGUCCCGCCCAGCGUGUUCUCUAAGUCACAAAUACGAUCUUUUUCAAACUGGGUUUUUUCCUGAUUCACAAUGAUUCGAAUAAAGAAAUCAGCAGAAAUGCUAUUUAAAGCUUAAUUUUCUUUAUAUAUGUCUGCCAUUCUCAUAAAAAAUGCUACAAGAACAUGUAAGAAAAAAAAACAUUUUAAUCUGAGUGGGUCUUUAAGUAUGAUUUUUUUGGGGGGCAACUGUUGUAUCUCCUCAUAAAAGAAGAUGAGAAUUGCUUUCUGAAAUAAAUCUUGAUCCAAUACUUUUAUUGUGGUUUCGGGGACAAACUAGUAAAUUAAACAGAAUAGAUUGAGGGGAGAGCAAACAAAAUGAAAAACAUAAUCUAGACUUUGGAGCAUUAAAACUAGAGAAAAAUGAAAAUUCUUUAUCAAUCCAAAUAAAAACAUUGCUAAUAUAACGCAGUCUUUUGUCCUACUCUCAUGUCUAUUUCUAUAAAAACAGGCUUUCCAGAUGAUUCUCGCGAUGAUGCAGUAGCAGGGUCAGCCCAUUCGGGGAUGGAGGAGGGGGGGAACUCCUCCUCUCUCCAGGCCCAUCCAGGGAACAAAAUGUUCCUGCGCCGGAGUGGGAGGGGCCAAUCAGCGGCCGAGUUAUUUAUACUGCGCGAGGGGAGGCUGCCGCUUGCCUAGCAACACGCAUCGACCGGAGCAUGAGAACCCAAAAAGGAGGCUGGCGUGAGAACCUUUCGCCUGUCUCACAUCAAGGAUCAAAAUUGCUCUUAAAGAGGGGCGUGACCUUUUGAUUGACAGGCACUGUGCCUAAUCUUUAGCCCUGGAAUGACCUUACUGGACCUGAAAAAGGCUACAUCGCUUGAUUUUCAGAGAGACUGGGGUUUAUCUAUGACCAGCCAAGAAGGCAACAACAACAGCGCAACUUAAGUGGAAUCUGCCUUUCCGCCGCCCAUAUCAUGCUCUUAACCCUUUUAUAAUCAACUAAAUCCAUAUAUAUGAUAAUAUACUACCUUUGGCACACUAAAAAUGAUUUUUAUAAGUUUUUCUCGUGGUUCAGUUUCCAACCUGGAGGUAAGACGACUCGAUCUCUAAGCCACCGCCUUUCCCUCCUUGUGGGUGCCGCCCACUUAAUGACAUCAUCCUAGAGUCGACGUCGGCAUCGUUUCGCCCACAAAAACAAACAAACAUCCGGCAAAGAUGGACUUGCAUUCUGUGCGUUUAAAUUGAAAGGGUUUAGCCUGGGGGCAGAUCUGGCAGCGCGGACUCUUCCUGGAAGGAGCCCUUCCUCACUUAUCCACGUCACAAUGAGUUAUACAGGCUAGAGUCGCUAAGCUAGCUUGUUGCGUACGCAAAGUUGGACGCCACGUUGGGUUUGUCGAGAUGCCUGUUUACUGCUGUGCUACAACAGCGGGGAAAAACAAGAAUGUGUCUUUUCACAAGCAAGCUAAUAAAGGGGAACUUUUUGAAAACAUUUUAGGAAGAUCUGAGUGAGUUUACUCUCAACAGUGAACAUUAAGGCUGAUCUUGUAACCUAUCUAAAGUGGCUUUUGACUUUUGAAAAGUGGACUAUUUCCACUUUUUUCAGCAGGACCACCUAUCUUUUUUGUUCCAUGGAGGAUGACUUUUGUAUUUCUGUGUGUGUUCAACCUCUGAUCAGACCAGACGACUCGCUGGUGAGCAGAUUACUCAGUGGAACCUAACCAAGAUUUCCUCAGUAGUUCAAAAAACCUGAGCGCUGCCAGCAGGGUAAACCGGACAAAACCACUUAAGGCAUGAAAAACAAUGUCUUCCCUCAGGCUGAAAGAUGGAAGCAACUCCCUGACUGUAAGCACAAAGUAUUUCCCACGCUGUAAAGCCCGCCCCCCACCCGGCAGCUGCAGUCAUAAAUGUUCUGAAUGCAUGCACAUGCAUUACACCGGCCUCUCUGCAGGAUCCUGCAGCGCUGCGAAGGAGCACAAGGCAAGUCAAUGUGACACAGGGCAAACCCACACUCCCUAGUAGCAGAAUAAUCCACAAAUGUUGCUUCUUAAACCAAUCUACAAAUGCACAUGGAAUAGAGUGUCAUCAUGUUACAUAUUGCAAUGCAAAACUAAAAAAAAAGGAGGAAAAAAUAUUCAUGCAUUGAUACCAUAUAAAAGCCUAUAUUUCAUUCAAAUUACUAAAUUAAAUUUAAAGCUCUUUUAUUAUCUAUAGAUGCAGUCAUUCCGUGCAUAAAGGACACUUCCACACUCGCCUGCAAAGCAUUUUUAAGAGUUACAUAAACAACAGUUAUUUUAGCUUGGAGGUUUCGUGGCCCUCUGCUGCCCCCUUGUGGACAAAUCAAUACCUGACCUAGAGGCAGCGUGUCUGCUGAGGCAGAAAUCUGUUCGAGGUGAUUUAUUAUGCUUGACAGGUAGGAGACACCACCCUAAAAAUGACAAGCUAAUAAUGAGAGCAUGAUUAAAAAACAAGAAACCAGUUUGAAAAGAAAAUAUUUCACUCGUGGGCGGUUUAGAUUUGGAUUUAGUCAACCAAUAAAAAGACUUCAUAAAACUCAGAUAUUAUUCAUUACAUUUCAAAACAUGUUACAAAACGAAUACAUAUUCAUUUAAAGAAUUAUAAAUUGCAUCAGGUCGAAAAAUUACUUUUAAUUUUUAUGAUUUCUUUUAGGAUCUGGAUUAGUAAGAAGUUAUUUCUUUUGAAAUCAUAUUAGUUUUUAGGAAAAAUAAAGAUCCAACCCAGCAAAUAAAUUGGGUUUUUUUAUUGAUUAGUAUAGGAAUAAAUUAAAAAAAGGGUUUGACAAAGCACUAGAUUAAAAAACAACUGAACAAACAAAAGUUUUGUAACACUAAUAACAGAAGAAAGUAUAGAUGUAUAAAUCAAUCAGCGCCAGCAAAGCAUUACUGGUAAACGGCACAUUUGUGUGAUCACGCACAAGACAUUGCAAUAGUUUGUGCAUCCAGACUUGCUUUUGUUUGGCAUUAAAAAAUAAAUAAAACGACCUGAUUCCUUACAAACUACCUGCCUGACUCAUUCAUUAACGUUUCGCUUUGUGUCCAAACCGCAACGUUUGUCCGAUGUGGACGGACUAAAGCGCUGCCAACCUGUUGGGAUUCAAUUUGACACACAAAAAAAAAAAAAGGAAGAAAAGCAGGUCACAAGACGCCAAAGAAAGAAAGAAAAGCGCAACUGCUGGUCUGGUUUUAGGAGGAACGUUGUUAGAGCAGUUUAUGGGCAAACAAUGAGCCGACUGUGUUUUCCAGCUCCAGAGGAUGAAGUCAGAGAGAACUGAUCCCAUUAAUGGGCCAGAAGGUUUAUAGUUGCAAAAUACUCUUCUAAAGCGUUUUAUCUUGCACACAGAAAGACUAUUAACACGGUAUUAAGAAUAUACAACCUACAUUUCAAUGACUAAAACGUCUGUCUGUCUGCAAAUAAACAGAACAAAAAGGAAAAAGUGAUUUUUCUCUGCAGCGCUUUUCUCUCAACGAAAGGACAGUCAAAGGUGGCUUUCAUCCAAAAAUCAAACGAGGGGUUGAGAAAAUCUGCAGGUUAAGAUCAUAAGCCUGGAAGGUAUAAGAACCUGUUUAAGACAGAUUCCUUCGUCUGCAGCUGCAAAAAAAAGGCAGAAAGGCUGAAACAAACGCAGAGUUCAGGCAUAAAUUGAGGUUCUGAUUACGGAUUUUAUAGGCAAAAACUAUCCGAAUAUUGCCUUCUUUUUUAUUGUUUUGUUGCUUUGAUCUAUUAAAAAAAAAGGCAAAAUACAUUCAAGUAUCGAAGUCUUUUCUGUCAGAAGUCCAAGAAAAAUGUUUGACUCCCGACAAUUCAGUAUUUCCAAUCAAAGAAGCAGCUUAUGAGAACUGAUUCUUCCUUAACUUCCACUUAACGUGCUUGUUGUAAAUGAGGAAAAAGAAAUAUAUUUUAAAAUGCAUGCAGUCAAAUAGAAAAAACAAAACAAAAACAAUUUUUUAAUAACUUCUGGGACGUAAAAACGUCUCGUAAGACUGAGAUCAAAUAAGCGCAGUCGCUCUUGGUGGCAAGGAAAACUUUGGAUGAUUGAUUUGGUAUUUUGUCUUAGAAAUAUUCAGGAUGGAAAACUUCAUCUACCAAUUAAGAAUUCAACAAAUUCAAAUUUGACCAAAUUUGGCACAAAUGGAUUUGAUUUAUUGCCCCUGUAAGGGCAAAUUUAAUUUGAUAUUACUGGUAUUCUCAUUCUUAAAACUUAUUGGUUAUGUAUAAAACCAGCUGUGACAACCCCUUUGUAAAUUUCAUAAUUAUUUUUGCAUUUAUUUAAUGAGUUACUAAAGUGUCUAGGAAUAUUCUCAACCUACGUAUAAUAAACAUGUCCUUUAUUGUUGUAUGACAUUAACUUUUAGUCCGUUUGCCGUCCAAAAACGAAACAACAGAAAGCAAAAAACCUAUUUUUAUAUAGAAAAAACUUCUCACACAUAAAACCUGCAGCGUUCUCCAUCAUUGUAAAUCAUUGCCUUCAUUAGGCUCCAUAUCAAUGUAAACAUGUUAAACCUCAUUGACUUUGAUUAUAGGUUUACAAAUCCGUUUAAUUUACAAUUUGCUGCUGUUUUUUAUGGAGCUGUGAAAAAAAUGUCAUGAUUCUGUUCUAUUCUAAAACUAGUUUUGUUUGGAUGAAAAAAAACCACAAAACCAGUUAUUUUGAACUGAACAAAAGUGCAGUUUUUGAUGCAACUUUUGUGAUAAGAAAGGCCGUUUUUCUUUUUAAUUGGUUUUUUGAGUAACAAUCAAUUCCAAUUUCUUUUUGUUAUAGCCAGAUCUAAUCUAUAAUAAAACACGAUGGACUUUUACUUCACUGCUUUUUGUUUCAGUUAUUAGUAAAAUAGUGGACCACAAUAAAUGUUAAACCGAAAAGUAGAAUAUUUGCUAUCAUUUUUAUAAUAAAACUAAAAAAAAA